CCGGAGCUGUGGACCCUGCGCUGAGGAGACCCCAUAACUGAGGAGACCCCGGAACUGAGGAGACACCGGAGCUGUGGAGACCCCGGAGCUGUGGAGACCCCAGAGCUGUGGAGACCCCGGAGCUGAGGAGACCCCGGAACUGAGGAGACCCUGGAGCUGAGGACCCCGCGCCGAGGAGACCCCGGAGCUGGGGAGACCAGGUGCGCAUUGGAGACCCCGCCGGGCAGCUGCCUGUGCAGUCCCGCGUCGCCUGCGCAUCUCUUGGUCUCUGCAGGCCCGCCUCCCGACAACAGCAAUUUCUUGAGCUCCCUACCUUCGCCUGUGUUGGGGCCCAGCUCAGCUUGAAGACCGUGUCGCAGGCUUGAGAAAGGAGACUUGUCUAAGACCGAAACUUAGUGAGGUUCUUCCAAAACCAAGACGGGCUAAGGAGAGGCCUGUUCCUUAAACCUGAGUCUGAUCGCCCUCUGGUGGCUCGUGGUGAGGAUGUUGCCGGCAGCUACAGAGAGGAGUGACGUGAAAAAGGAACAGAAAACAAUCUUCAGUGUUGCUGAAAGGGAAAUUUUCUUUCCCAGUUGGUGGUUAUGAUUUGAAGAAAAGCACUUAGAGAUUGAAGAGCUUAGAUUCCUCUAGAGGUGCAGAUAAAAUUGAUAAAAGGAAGAUUUGGAAAUACAUUAAAAAGAUGUUUGAAGUGAAGGCAGAAAUUUCGAUCAUGUUUAUCAACCAUGUAGGAGUUUGAACACUUGUUUAGAAUUUUUUCCUCCCUGAAAUGGAAGAAGAAACAAUUCACAAACCACAGUGCAUAAGACUCUGAGAGAAACAAUAAUGAAGUUUGGUCACUCUGAGAAUGACAGUACUUUAUCUUUUCUUUUUGGGAA